UCAGGACGAACGCUGGCGGCGUGCCUAAUACAUGCAAGUCGAACGAACUCUGGUAUUGAUUGGUGCUUGCAUCAUGAUUUACAUUUGAGUGAGUGGCGAACUGGUGAGUAACACGUGGGAAACCUGCCCAGAAGCGGGGGAUAACACCUGGAAACAGAUGCUAAUACCGCAUAACAACUUGGACCGCAUGGUCCGAGUUUGAAAGAUGGCUUCGGCUAUCACUUUUGGAUGGUCCCGCGGCGUAUUAGCUAGAUGGUGGGGUAACGGCUCACCAUGGCAAUGAUACGUAGCCGACCUGAGAGGGUAAUCGGCCACAUUGGGACUGAGACACGGCCCAAACUCCUACGGGAGGCAGCAGUAGGGAAUCUUCCACAAUGGACGAAAGUCUGAUGGAGCAACGCCGCGUGAGUGAAGAAGGGUUUCGGCUCGUAAAACUCUGUUGUUAAAGAAGAACAUAUCUGAGAGUAACUGUUCAGGUAUUGACGGUAUUUAACCAGAAAGCCACGGCUAACUACGUGCCAGCAGCCGCGGUAAUACGUAGGUGGCAAGCGUUGUCCGGAUUUAUUGGGCGUAAAGCGAGCGCAGGCGGUUUUUUAAGUCUGAUGUGAAAGCCUUCGGCUCAACCGAAGAAGUGCAUCGGAAACUGGGAAACUUGAGUGCAGAAGAGGACAGUGGAACUCCAUGUGUAGCGGUGAAAUGCGUAGAUAUAUGGAAGAACACCAGUGGCGAAGGCGGCUGUCUGGUCUGUAACUGACGCUGAGGCUCGAAAGUAUGGGUAGCAAACAGGAUUAGAUACCCUGGUAGUCCAUACCGUAAACGAUGAAUGCUAAGUGUUGGAGGGUUUCCGCCCUUCAGUGCUGCAGCUAACGCAUUAAGCAUUCCGCCUGGGGAGUACGGCCGCAAGGCUGAAACUCAAAGGAAUUGACGGGGGCCCGCACAAGCGGUGGAGCAUGUGGUUUAAUUCGAAGCUACGCGAAGAACCUUACCAGGUCUUGACAUACUAUGCAAAUCUAAGAGAUUAGACGUUCCCUUCGGGGACAUGGAUACAGGUGGUGCAUGGUUGUCGUCAGCUCGUGUCGUGAGAUGUUGGGUUAAGUCCCGCAACGAGCGCAACCCUUAUUAUCAGUUGCCAGCAUUAAGUUGGGCACUCUGGUGAGACUGCCGGUGACAAACCGGAGGAAGGUGGGGAUGACGUCAAAUCAUCAUGCCCCUUAUGACCUGGGCUACACACGUGCUACAAUGGAUGGUACAACGAGUUGCGAACUCGCGAGAGUAAGCUAAUCUCUUAAAGCCAUUCUCAGUUCGGAUUGUAGGCUGCAACUCGCCUACAUGAAGUCGGAAUCGCUAGUAAUCGCGGAUCAGCAUGCCGCGGG
rnacentral:rRNA from 2 species